AGGCUCUCAGUGUGCUAGGACUCUUGCCU
rnacentral:piRNA from 1 species